rnacentral:lncRNA from 1 species
AAGAAAGAAAGAAAAGUAAGUAUCUACAAAAAGUUAUUCUGGUCAAACUAGAUAUAUGUAUGUAGAUUAUGUAGAUGAAUGCAAAGAAGUCCAUGUUUAUCACUGUACAAGAACUCAAACCUCAAAUACUUCAAUAUAAAACCUGAUACACUGAACCUCAUAGAAAAGAAAGUGGAGAACAGCCUUGAAUGCAUUGGCACAGAAGAUGACUUUCUGAACAGAAAACAAGAGCAUAGGCACUAAGAUAAACAAAUAAUAAACGGAACCUCAUGAAGGCAUAUACCAUAAAGCAAAGGGCAUCAUCAACUAGACAAAAUGGCAGCCUACACAAUAGAAAAAGAAUUCUACCAACUUCAGUUCAGCUGGAAGAUUAAUUUUCAAUAUAUAUAAAUAUAUAUUUUCAAUAUAUACAAAUAUAAACUAGAUAUCAAAAAAUAUAAACAAAUGAUCCAAUCAUAAAAAAAUGUUAUAGAACUAAACACAGAAUUUUCAAUAGGUGAAUUUCUGAUGGCUAUGAAAUUUUAAAAGUGUUCAAUAUCCAUAGGCAUUGGGGAAAUGCCAAGGAAAACUACUUUGAGAUUCUAUUUUACACAUAUCAGAGUGCUAAGAUCAGUAACCCAAGUGAUAACUCAUGCUAGUGAGAAUAAGAAGUAAGAGGAACACUUUUCCAUUGCUGCUGGGAGUGCAAACAUCCACUCUGUAAAUCAGUAUGGUGGUUCCUCAGAAAGUUGGGAAAUAAUCUGCCUCAAGAACAAGCCAUACCACUCUUGACCUUGCCUAAAGGGUGCUAUAUCCUGACAAAGGAUUGCUGAUAAACAUGUUUAUUCUGGAUUUAUUAAUCAUUGCCAGAAACUAGAAAUAACCAAGAUAUCCCUUAAUAGAAGAAAAAUAAGCAAAAUAUGUUACAUUUAGACAAUGGAGUAGUACACAGUUGUUUAAAAAAAGGUAUGUAAAUUUCAGCAAAAUGGAUGGAACUAGAACAACAACAAAAAUCUUGAGUGAUGUAACCUAAAUCCAGAAAGACAAAUAUGGUAUGUGCUAACUUUUAAGUGACAUUAGCCAUUAAAUAAAUGAAAACUCAACUAUAAUCACUGUGCUUUUCACUUGAUAUAGUGUAUCUAGUUAUGUCCAACUAUUGUUUGAAAAUAUUAAAUAGAAAAACAAUGUAAAUAACCCACUCAUAAGUUGUAAAUUAUUCUGAGUAGUGAGGAAAAUACCCUCUCUUACCAUUCUGCUUACCCCAGAAUGAGAGACAUCACUCUGUCUACAGUAUCCACAUGCAAAAGGGUACACAGCACAUAUUACUCUUCCAGUAGUCUUCUCGUUGAUCAGAUCAACCCUGAUUACAUCUGAAUACUCUGCCUCAAUUGGUCUUGUUUUUCAUUAUAAUGGCUUCAGAAAACCAAAUAGAAAAUAGUGAUGGUGGCACUUUGGAAAAAGGAACUCUAAGAGGCUCGUUAAUAAAGAAUGUUAGUAAACAAAGAAUAAAUAUAAAAAUUAGACUUAAUUUUAAAAUAUAAAAAUGAAAUGUUAACUUAUACUAAGAUAUAUGGUAAGAAAACAUACCAAAAACUAUCAAGAAAAAAAAACACAUAAAUGUUAUUCCUGUUAUAGCUCCUCCACCUGC